rnacentral:lncRNA from 1 species
GUCAAUUUGGUUAAUUCCUAGUCAAAGUGGCUUUUUCUUUCUAAUGUGCAAUCUUUAGGGCAUAAACAUACAUGGCUUCCCCAUGGGGGAAAAUGAACAAUAAACUCUAAUCUCUUCUUUGUGUUUGCAGGAUGCUAAUAGUGAGUCUUCUGGGUACAAAAGCAAGACGGAACUCCAUCAAUAUCCACCCAUCUUUUGAGGAUCCUCACCCAGCUGCUACCCCCAGUGAACUCUCCAGCUGUGCAGUCAUUUGGCAGAGUGCACUGUUAUGCAUAACUUAAAGCUAUGUGUGUGUGACUCCAAAACAACUGUGAAUACAGAUUGUCCACAUGAAAACCCCAAACUAUUUGCAAGUGAAAAACACUGGAAUCAAUGAUUUGAUGGUCAUAAAAGUGACCCAAAUAUCAGAUUUAGCAUUGACUGAUUCCAUCAAUCAAC